rnacentral:rRNA from 1 species
UUGAUCCUGCCAGUAGUCAUAUGCUUGUCUCAAAGAUUAAGCCAUGCAUGUCUAAGUAUAAGCAAUUUAUACAGUGAAACUGCGAAUGGCUCAUUAAAUCAGUUAUCGUUUAUUUGAUAGUUCCUUUACUACAUGGUAUAACUGUGGUAAUUCUAGAGCUAAUACAUGCUUAAAAUCUCGACCCUUUGGAAGAGAUGUAUUUAUUAGAUAAAAAAUCAAUGUCUUCGGACUCUUUGAUGAUUCAUAAUAACUUUUCGAAUCGCAUGGCCUUGUGCUGGCGAUGGUUCAUUCAAAUUUCUGCCCUAUCAACUUUCGAUGGUAGGAUAGUGGCCUACCAUGGUUUCAACGGGUAACGGGGAAUAAGGGUUCGAUUCCGGAGAGGGAGCCUGAGAAACGGCUACCACAUCCAAGGAAGGCAGCAGGCGCGCAAAUUACCCAAUCCUAAUUCAGGGAGGUAGUGACAAUAAAUAACGAUACAGGGCCCAUUCGGGUCUUGUAAUUGGAAUGAGUACAAUGUAAAUACCUUAACGAGGAACAAUUGGAGGGCAAGUCUGGUA